GCAAAAUCUUACUUUACCGCGAGUGUCCGAUAUGGACUUUACCCCAUUUGUCUACUUGAACACAGAAAACCUCCGUGAAAAAUGCCACGAAUUACAUAAUAUAACGCCGAUAUCUCUCUUAUAUUAUUUAAAAUUCUCUUCGUCUUUUUAUGUUAUAAUUUCGUUUAUGUUUAAGGCAAAUCCGAACGAAUAUUCUCACUUAAUAAUCUAUGUAUACUCGUUUCAUCAUUCGGCGAGAACUGCGCAUGCAAAUACGUUUCCCGUCAAAAUCGUAUUGUAAUGCGAUUCACUUUAAAGUGCCCAUCAUACGCCGUGCACAAAUCAUAUUUAUUCUACAAUGACUUUUCAUCAUGUAUAAAAUAUAAUAAUAUAUUCGUAUGUUUCUCAUUGUGUAACCGUAUAUUACGUAUGUAAUACACGCCGUGUAUAUAAGUCGGGUCGGCGAUUUUGAAGUCUCAAUUUAAAAGAAAAAAGAAAAAAAAUACUAAAGGAAUUGUAUCAUUACAACAUCGCAACAACUGCAUAUUUUACUAUAUUUACUAUGUAUGCAAUAUAAUCAAAUUACCGUGCCGAUCAAUGCCACAUCGACUGCUGCAGACCAUACGUGUCGGAUGAUGAUGGUUUUGGUUUACAGACGAGCGGGUACUUGGGGGGCCGCGCGCAUAACCUGUUGGAAAUGACGAGAUCGUAUUCGGAACGCCGCGCCGCCGAUAUAUUAUUGCCCAAUUUAAAAUAAUAUAAUCACAAUUUUCCCUCGGGGCUUCUGAAAUAAAUCCCUUGCGUAAAAUAAGCAGUCGUUUCGCCUAAAAAGGAACAGAUAGAUUCGAUUGAUGUCAUCAUCAUAGUAAUAAUAUGUCGAGGUAAAACGAGACAUGUUAUUCAAACUCGCGCGUUUGAACAUUUAUUUCAACCGGCCUGAAUGGACGACACGAAUCAAAAUUGAGUGACACGCAUCGAAAAUACAAAAAUAUAGCGGCAAAUCGGCUUUUAAUGUUUCAUAAUUCUUAGUGAACGUUCUAUAAUUUUCCCCACGUGAAAAUGUAAUACUGUUGAAAGAUGAUUUUAUUUCGGCUAGAACGGGUUGCAGGGUCGGGAAAAAGUCACUACUCAGAAAUGUCAAUAUUCACAUC